rnacentral:lncRNA from 1 species
UCGGUUACAACCUAUUCCAAAAUUCAAAUCAAUUGAAAAAUGACUCAAACCCCAGCCAGGUAGUCACCUAAAUUCCAAAAUCAAAUACGAGCCCAGCUCCAUGAUGCAAAAAAGAAAAGCAAAAAUUAUUACCAAAUGAAAAACGUAUAUAAUUGAUUAAUAACCCAUUACCAUAAACACUCAAGACAACAACAAUUACAAUGUUAAUAAACCAAAUCAGCACCAAUUACAAAACCAAACCAGCACCAAUUACAAACAGCCAUUACAUAAAAGAAAAUUGAACAGAUUUAGUGCCUGAAACCCCUCUUACCCAUGCCCAAAAGAAAAUUGAAUUACAACAGCAACAUUUUCAUCACGUCAGCCGCAGAAGAAGAUUGAAUUACAAACAGCCAUUCACGCCCAUUUGGAAUCGCAUUUAUAAGCUCACCUUGUGUGGCUGACAAUGGCGAACAAAGCCAGAGGUAGCUAGAACAGAGAUGAUAGCAACUGGAACGAGGAACCAAAUGGAGAAAAGCUAGAAGCCGCAGCGUCGGCUCACUUGAACGGAAGUGACAGCAGUGACAGCGUGGUGGGCGUUUGUUUCCGGCGGCAGUGGCUAUAACGUAGCUGUGGCUGUGUGUUGUGAGUGAACGUUCGUUCUCUCUUAGGAAUGGCAAUGGGGCGGGGUGGGGGUGGGGAUGCCUACCCCAUUCCCCACCCCAUUAAAAUUUUUUGCCUC